GACGAACGCUGGCGGCGUGCUUAACACAUGCAAGUCGAACGAUGAAGCGGGUGCUUGCACUCGUGGAUUAGUGGCGAACGGGCGAGUAACACGUGAGUAACCUGUCCUUUUCUUUGGGAUAACGGCUGGAAACGGCUGCUAAUACUGGAUAUUCAGGCUGCAUCGCAUGGUGUGGUUUGGAAAGGUUUUUUCUGGGAUUGGGUGGGCUCGCGGCCUAUCAGCUUGUUGGUGGGGUGAUGGCUUACCAAGGCUUUGACGGGUAGCCGGCCUGAGAGGGUGGUCGGUCGCACUGGGACUGAGAUACGGCCCAGACUCCUACGGGAGGCAGCAGUGGGGAAUAUUGCACAAUGGACGAAAGUUUGAUGCAGCGACGCCGCGUGGAGGGUGUAGGCCUUCGGGUUGUGAACUCCUUUUGCUCGCGAAAAAGGCACAGUGUUGGCUGUGUGGAUGGUAGUGGGGGAAGAAGCGCCGGCUAACUACGU
rnacentral:rRNA from 1 species